rnacentral:rRNA from 1 species
AUACGGAGGGUGCAAGCGGUUGUUCGGAAUUAUUGGGCGUAAAGCGCGUGUAGGCGGUUUGUUAAGUCUGAUGUGAAAGCCCCGGGGCUCAACCUGGGAAGUGCAUUGGAUACUGGCAGACUUGAAUACGGGAGAGGGCAGUGGAAUUCCUGGUGUAGGAGUGAAAUCCGUAGAUAUCAGGAGGAACACCGGUGGCGAAGGCGGCUGCCUGGACCGAUAUUGACGCUGAGACGCGAAAGCGUGGGUAGC